rnacentral:rRNA from 1 species
GACGAACGCUGGCGGCAUGCCUAAUACAUGCAAGUCGAGCGAACAGAUGAAGUGCUUGCACUUCUGACGUUAGCGGCGAACGGGUGAGUAACACGUAAGGAAUCUACCUAUAAGCGGGGGAUAACAUUCGGAAACGGGUGCUAAUACCGCAUAAUAUCUUCUUCCGCAUGGAAGAAGAUUGAAAGACGGCUCUGCUGUCACUUAUAGAUGACCUUGCGGUGCGAUUAGUUAGUUGGUGGGGUAACGGCCUACCAAGACGAUGAUGCAUAGCCGACGUGAGAGGGUGGUCGGCCACAUUGGGACUGAGACACGGCCCAAACUCCUACGGGAGGCAGCAUUAGGGAAUCUCCCGCAAUGGGCGAAAGCCUGACGGAGCAAUGCCGCGUGAGUGAAGAAGGCCUUCGGGUCGUAAAACUCUGUUAUAAGAGAAGAACAAAUUGUAGAGUAACUGCUACAGUCUUGACGGUAUCUUAUCAGAAAGCCACGGCUAACUACGUGCCAGCCGCCGCAGUAA